rnacentral:rRNA from 1 species
CCUACGGGGUGCUGCAGUGGGGAAUAUUGGACAAUGGGCGAAAGCCUGAUCCAGCCAUGCCGCGUGUGUGAAGAAGGCCUUCGGGUUGUAAAGCACUUUCAGUGGGGAAGAAAGCCUUGGGGCUAAUACCCUCGAGGAAGGACAUCACCCACAGAAGAAGCACCGGCUAACUCCGUGCCAGCAGCCGCGGUAAUACGGAGGGUGCGAGCGUUAAUCGGAAUUACUGGGCGUAAAGCGCGCGUAGGCGGUCUGAUAAGCCGGUUGUGAAAGCCCCGGGCUCAACCUGGGAACGGCAUCCGGAACUGUCAGGCUAGAGUGCAGGAGAGGAAGGUAGAAUUCCCGGUGUAGCGGUGAAAUGCGUAGAGAUCGGGAGGAAUACCAGUGGCGAAGGCGGCCUUCUGGACUGACACUGACGCUGAGGUGCGAAAGCGUGGGUAGCAAACAGGAUUAGAUACCCUUGAGUC